rnacentral:tRNA from 5 species
GGCGACAUAGCCAAGUGGUAAGGCAGGGGAUUGCAAAUCCUUGAUCCCCAGUUCGAAUCUGGGUGUCGCCU